rnacentral:tRNA from 1 species
ACCCAACUGGCUCAGUUGGUAGAGCAUGUGACUCUCGAUCCCGGGGUUGUGAGUUCGAGGCCCACUUUGGGCA